rnacentral:piRNA from 1 species
UGCUGGAGCACACUCAGUAUUUACAUGGAC